GCCGACGUAUCCGAAUUGGUACAGGAGCACGCUUCAGGAGCGUGUGUCGUAAGACAUGAGGGUUCGACUCCCUCCGUCGGCACCG
rnacentral:tRNA from 1 species